rnacentral:rRNA from 1 species
UACGUAGGUGGCAAGCGUUGUCCGGAUUUACUGGGCGUAAAGGAUGCGUAGGCGGAUACUUAAGUCAGAUGUGAAAUACCCGAGCUCAACUUGGGUGCUGCAUUUGAAACUGGGUGUCUAGAGUGCAGGAGAGGUAAGUGGAAUUCCUAGUGUAGCGGUGAAAUGCGUAGAGAUUAGGAAGAACACCAGUGGCGAAGGCGACUUACUGGACUGUAACUGACGCUGAGGCAUGAAAGCGUGGGGAGCAAACAGG